GACGAACGCUGGCGGCGUGCCUAAUACAUGCAAGUAGAACGCUGAAGCGAGGAGCUUGCUCUUCUUGGAUGAGUUGCGAACGGGUGAGUAACGCGUAGGUAACCUGCCUUGUAGCGGGGGAUAACUAUUGGAAACGAUAGCUAAUACCGCAUAACAAUGGAUGACACAUGUCAUUUAUUUGAAAGGGGCAAUUGCUCCACUACAAGAUGGACCUGCGUUGUAUUAGCUAGUAGGUGAGGUAACGGCUCACCUAGGCGACGAUACAUAGCCGACCUGAGAGGGUGAUCGGCCACACUGGGACGGAGACACGGCCCAGACUCCUACGGGAGGCAGCAGUAGGGAAUCUUCGGCAAUGGGGGCAACCCUGACCGAGCAACGCCGCGUGAGUGAAGAAGGUUUUCGGAUCGUAAAGCUCUGUUGUAAGUCAAGAACGAGUGUGAGAGUGGAAAGUUCACACUGUGACGGUAGCUUACCAGAAAGGGACGGCUAACUACGUG
rnacentral:rRNA from 1 species